CCGGUUCGCCCUUCCACUCUGGGGCCUCGCGUUGUUGGUGUGUUGGGUGGCGAGUUCGAAUCCUGCGGUUGAGUAAUCCUGUAGGUGGUCGGGUUUUGGUGCUCGUUUCCGGAGCGUGUCGGUUCUCUGAGGCUUGGCUGGGUCGAUGCUUCGACUCUGGUGGCCAGCCCAUUGUUUUGCGUGUCGGUGUAGUUUGUGUUUGGCGCGGGAGGCUUGAAUGCGGAGUCAAAUGCUGCCGCUAAAGUCUCUAUUGCCUUUUCUACUUCGAGCUCACUGGGUGAGCUCCUGUGGGCUUGGGUUCUUUCUUCUAGGUUGUCUUCAGGUUGUUCCCCAUUUGUUUUGGGGUCCUCGUUGUUUCGCGCCGUUAGGUUUAAAUCUCGGCUUCCCAUUGGCUGCUGGCCAUCCCAAGAUGGCCACCGGGAGCAUGGCGCAGAAUUGAAAUAGUCCAUGUCCGGUGCUUCAGCUUGGGAAUCCCUCUCCCUUACCGGACUGGCGUCUUCAUGGUUUCGUUACUGGCUGAUCAUCGCUGCUCCAUGGCUGUCUAGGAGGCCUUGGAGUUUCGUGAUGAGCUCCAUUUUGCUGCUCCAUUUCCAUCAUCUUCAGUAUGGUUGCCCUGAAUUCGUCUCUUUCUGGUGGCUCCUCUCUUUCACAGUUGCUUGCUUUUGCUCAUGGCCUUUCGCUUCUGAUGAGUGGGUCCGGAUUGCAGUCCUGCUCAUCCUCAGUUGUCUCCAUCAUUGUUGUGGCCUUUUCAAUUGCUUGCAGCCAUCUGUUUGGAAUGGGAUCUCGUGAUUCUUCUGUUUUCAGCUUCAGGAUGAAUCACUGAUUCUGCCAUUAAUCUGAGUUAUGGGCAACCAUCCUCUGCUACCAUACUGAUAUAGAAUGGAUCUAGCCCAAUAACUCAAAAGACAAGUAAUUAUAAGUUUCAGGUAUCUUUUAUUUCUAGCCUGGCUUGUUCCAGGCCUAUCACGCAUAGCACUUACUGACAUCAGAUCUUUUCAUUUACAGGUACGUUCCUGUAUCUCCACGUGGGGAGAGAUCUUAUACCCAGGGGGAGGACCCUAAAGAAUCAAAGGACUCCUAGCUCAAACCCUACCUCUCGAUUUUGCUGUUCAUAAGUUCCAGCCUGGUGAUUGGGUCCUGAUAAAACCUGAUGUGAGGACAAACUUAGCCAAGCCUGGGACAAGUCCUACCAAGUCCUGCUGACUACUGAAACAGCAGUCCAACCUAAAGACAAAGGGUGGACCACUACACCCGUGUAAAAGGACCAGUGGGAGAACUUAAAGAGUGGCAAGUGAUUCCUGAAGAAGACCUGCUGAGAAUAAACUUUUCCAAAAACUGGUGUGGUCAUUGUGGUAUGAAUGGGUUUUGUUUGAUUUUUCUUGUUGCAGGAGUAGCAACUUUUUGGACUUUCCAGCCUGAGUGGUGGCCUCUCUUAUUCCAUCUGAAGAUCCCAACAGCAGCUGUGCAACUUCACACUCUCCAGAUUGUGUUGGUCCCGUGAUUGUAACUGUAUCACUGAAUGUUAUUGUUAUUCUUGUUGUAAUGGUGAACUUAUACACACCUGUGGGGAAUAAUGGGACACUGUGCUUGUGUAAAUGUGCAAGGGAUGGCUCCCCAUAGAAACUCUAUUCCUAUGUAUAUAUCUAUCCUACACUGGAGAAUUGAGGCAUUGAAUCAGAUCAGCCUGACUUGAAUACAGUAGUCCUAGGAGAUAGUGAUAUCAUGAUCCCUGAAGAGAUAGAAUGGAUUGAUUUAAUGCAAUGGUUCAAUAUUUGGGACUAAUUUUCUUAUGCAUAGGACUAAUAUGAGAAUAUAAUGCAAUGAUCAGUGUGAAAAAUUAUAUUACACGUAAGGGUGUUUUCUUUGCUUAUUGUUACUUUUCAGUCUGGAAUUAACCUGACACAACCUAGUAACCCAUUUGAAAAUAUACCUAGACUGAGUGGGUUAUGGAUAAUAUAAGUGGCUUAUAUUGGAUAAAUGGAAAAUUUGCCUAUGUGCAGUUGCCUAGCCGAUGGUAUGAAGCAUGUGUACUAGGAACUGUGAAAUCUAUUUUUCUUCCUUUUUCUACUGCCCAUACCACAAGGUGAAAGACUGGGUGUACCUAUUUAUGUAGAUGUAGGCCACAGAAAGAUGAGUGGCCUCCAGAAAUAAUAGUUCAGGUAUACGGACCAGCCACCUGGGCAGAAGAUGGUAUAGAACUCCCUUUAUAUGCUGAAUAGAAUUGUAAGGUUACAGCCAAUGAUUGCAAUGAUACCUAAUACAACUGUUAGUGCUCUAAAUUUCUUAGUUAAACAGCACUCUGUUGAAAACAGCAAUAUCCCAGAAUAGACUUCCUGUACACUAUUUGUUAGCAAAAGUAGAUGUGUGUGGAAAAAUUAAUCUCACAAAUUUUGUUUGCAAAAUUGAUGAUUGUUAACUCUUGGAGGUCUCCUUCUUCUCCCUUGUCUCAUUCCUUUAAUCCAAAGAAUAGUCACAUGAUUCCCGCGAUGGAAAGCAUUCCAUUAUUUAAAUAAAAAGUGUGGAAUGAAGGGAAACAAUAAUAAGGAUAUAAUAAAUAAUACUAGAAUAUGAUAUACUGGUAUACUAGAUUCUGUAACCAUUAGGUUCCUGUAAUACAUAUAUGCCUUUAUAUUUGUAUCUCCUGUAACAAACAUAUUCUGUUAUUAGGCCUCUGUAAUGUAUCUGGUAUUUGUCAAACCCUUGCCAUUUGACCUGAACCCAUAUCGAUCUUCUCCCUGUUUUUUCUUGUGCCAUCUAAAAGCAUGGUACGUAUCUCAGUUGAAACUAGCCAUCAACAAAGGGAUAAUUUACACCUCAGCCCUAAUUUAUGUUUGAUCUGGAUAGACUCCUACUUUCCAGGGCCAGGGGGCCAAAGUGGCCAAUUGAGUAAACAAAGAAAUGCUCAAGAUGACUAAUUGGGAAGUUUCUAUUCCCCCUUGCAGGGCAACAAGGAAUGCACGGGCCUGGAUUGGGAGGCCAGAGUUGGGUACUAAGCUGACGUCUCUGAGGGUAUAAAAGGACGCCAUACCUUCCCCAAGGUGUGGCUAUCUCCUCGCAUGCAUUGUAUCUGUAUGUUCUGGAUAUAGUUCCACCCAGUAUUUUGUUUUUGGCCAUAAAUAAAAACUGAUUUUUUGCAA